GCCCGCACGACACUGCCUCCUCGAUCCCAUCUCCACCUCCUGCGCCGCCCGCCGCCGCCGCCUCCUGUCACGCCACGCCCCGCGCCCCCUGCCGCCGCCGCCAGCUCCUGCCUUGCCCUGCUGUGCGCCGCCCCACCGUGCGCCGUGCGGCCGUCCGCCACGCUCUUGAAGGACCUCAAGGCCUGCUGCCCCGCCCAGCGCACCCACCUUGCUCAAGGUUGGGCGAGCGCGGAAGCAGAGUUCGGGACGGCAGCGGAUGGCGCCCCUCUCGGUCAUCCUCCUCCCGACGGCAGGCGAUGCAGGAGGCCGCGGAUACGGCUGCUCCCGUGUGGCUUCGACGGCGGGGUGGAGGGAUCGAGGAGGGGGAGCACAAGGCCGACGGAGAGGUGGCCGGAGAUGGCAGGCGUGGGUGUUGCGGUUGUCCAUGGUGAAAACAAGUCUCCGAUGCACCCCUUCAAACCCUAGCCGCUGCACCAGUGCAAUCCCGCCGCCGCAUCAAUGCCGCCCCGCAGCCGACAGGGACGUCACUUCCCUGUGCCCUCGCACCUGUCCUCCACCACCCCCUCGCCUCCCUCCGCUCUAGGCCGUCUCGAGCCGCCAGAAGCAACUACUGGUCUCUAGCCACCGCCCUUGCCUCACUCCUCCCGGGUCGUCGCUGCCAAGGAAGUAGCUGGGAAUGCAGCAAGCCCCGAUCUCCUCCAGAACAGCCGACGCCUCUUCCUGUAGCGAGCUCACCCUGUACACGCCUUCUGCAGGAGUAGGACGAGGCUCCCAAAUGCAGCGAGCUGCUUGCGUAGAUACUGUGUUGACUUUCUUUUCUAAAGAUUGCCCCUAAACGCUGGUGGUUGGAGAUAAAGUUUAGCCAAGAUGUUAUUCUGAUGCGGUCUUCAAUGAAUUUUUCUGAUGGAAUCCAGAUUUGGAAAGGAGGAAUAGAGUACUGAACUUUUAUAUAUCUACAUAAUCUACAUCUGAAGUUAAGAGGUACACAAAUUACUAUGCAAUGGAGGAACAGGGCAAUUUUGUAAGCUUACUACAUGCGGAAUUAUGUCGCUGCAUCUCUUUUAGUACUCAUGUGUAGAUUUUCCUACAGCAAUAUUACUUGCAUUCAGUUUUGUGUCGUCAUGGAAAUUCAGAUGGGCGUUCUGUAGCGUGUUCAGAAUAAUACUUUGCAAGGGAUAGCAGCCCGAUGUCGAGCAGUAGCAGCAGCAUGUUCUGCAGCUUCGAUGACCCUGAUGAAUUCGCUGUGGUGCUCAACUCCUGCUCGAGGGCAUGGUGGAGUUUCCCCUUGAACUCCAUGACCUGAUUCUCAGGUUUGUAAUUUAGCCUAUUUUUUGGCUGUUGACUACUGCUUUUUUUCUUUGUAGAUGUUCUGAUUAUUGGCGCUUUGGAACUCUUGUGGUCUGUAUAUCAUUGUUCUAUUGACGCUCACUUCACCUGAACGGCUGGACCAGAUGAUAGUGGAUAUACCCAGUGUAGUAUAUUGUUAUAAGGUUGUGUAUUAGCUUCCAGUGAUUUUUCUCUCACUGGUAUCUUGACAAAGCUUGAAGUGUAUGCCGAUGUCUUGCUCAGUUUAGUUAGUAAUAGUAUUAGCUUGAAGUGCCAUCCAUACUCAGUUUCAACUAGAUACCUCCAUGGAUAGCUCCCUUGACAUUAUAUUGAAGGUUAGUGUUGUUACAUGUUGCUCAAUGUUGCACUUUUAGUACUCUAGCUGCUUUGUAGGCGAAACCGCCACCACCUGCAACCGUGCCCUCAGGCUUCCCUCAGGCCGUCCUUAUCAAUUGUAGCCUCUGCUCGCCCAUGUUAAGUCCCUCCUUUUAGAAACGGCCUCCCUCGAUGGUGGCCUCCCCUGGAAGCUCUUGAACCUACAGUGGAGUCAGUUCCCCGUCAGGAGGAAAUUCUUGCGUUUGGCCGUCAGACUGUUAGUUGUAACCAUGUUAUUCUAUCAAGCUUUUCCAUCGAGUUGCCGAAACAAUAUAAAAAUAGAAGAUGUUAAAUAUGAAAGUACUAAGUUAUGUACUCUGCUAUUGUGGUUGUGAAGCUUGUACAGUCUGCUUGAUGUUCGCACCAAAUUUCCUUCAGGAAACAUGAUGAUGAGUCCAGUGCAAGUCUUCAGGUUGUUGGGCUAAUCAUAGGCAAAGAAUUCUGGACUUCUGUGGGUUUUCAUGAAAGAUUUUGGAAUGAAGAAUAGUUGUUAAGUUAUUAUUUUUGUUAGAAGAGUAGCGUCGCAAAAAAGAGAAUUGCUAGGGAAGUAACUAGAGUACAUGCUACUAUUUUUAUAGGGAAGAGCCUAAACGACCCAACUUAUGCAAUCUACAGAUGUUGCUUAUGAAAUCGGGUAUAGAGCCAUGCAUCUGCAACCAUCUAUUAGCAACAUCAGGUUUGUGUUUAUAUCUCCUCUGCCUGCACCAUUUCUUGAUCAUUAUGUUAUUUCUUUUGUCAUCUUGAAUCCUUUUUGUCAUAGCCAUACAUUCUCUUUUGGUUUAAGAAGAUAAUAAUCAAGUUUCACUAAAUGCAUCUUCUAUAGCAGUCAGAUUCUCUAAUAAUUCAAUCAUACUGUGUACUGGUUUGUAAUUUCAUUUCUUUGAUUAUUAAUCUACCUUUUCCCUAAGAUUGUUUCUCAUAGUGAACAACUGAUAAAAAGGAUUUUUAGGAAAUAGACAAGAAUGAUAAGGUACAUACUGAUGUUUUCUGUAAUUUUCCUGUGUGGUUCAAGAGAAGCGUAUUGCAGCAGAACAUCUAAGGGUGAUAACACAACGAAGAAAAUUUUUCUGUUCUGGGAGAAGAAAUUGUUUCCCCAUAGGCUUUCAGUUUAAAAGUUUCCAUUACAUACAGUUUCACUAUGUUCAUAUGAUACAUCUGUUAUCACUCGGUAUUCUGCUCAAGGGGAACUGAUACUUCCUCAUAUGAGAAUUAUUAUCCUUCUGACUAUGGCAUGCCUUUUGAUCUACCUUGGCUUAGGUAGUUUGUUUUGACUCCUUGAUUAUUCAGUGAUCUGCCAGCUAUUCUUGUAUUCAGCAACAGACUGGGUUUGCUUUGUCCCAAGAUCAUGGAUACUUGAAUGCCCUUUAUUGACCAUGUAUUUAAGAGGCCACUUCUAAUUGCUUUUGUAUUUUAUGCAUAUUUUAAGCU